rnacentral:rRNA from 1 species
AACCCGCAAGGCAGAACGACCCGCGAAUCUGUGAAAAUCGAUGCGGGCAACGGGCCUCGGGGUCCGUCGCCCGAAGUCCCCGGGCGAGGCGUGCGGGUCCAACCCACGUCUCACGCGCUGCGGGCGAAAACAACAAUCCCCGGCGCAGAUCGCGCCAAGGAACCGAAGAAAAGAUGCACGCCCCCUCGGCCCCGGAACGGUGGCCGACGGGAUGCGUUGUCGUUAUCGAAUACGAAACGACUCUCGGCAACGGAUAUCUUGGCUCUCGCAUCGAUGAAGAACGUAGCGAAAUGCGAUACUUGGUGUGAAUUGCAGAAUCCCGUGAAUCAUCGAGUUUUUGAACGCAAGUUGCGCCCGAGGCCUCCGGCCGAGGGCACGUCUGCCUGGGUGUCACGAAACGUCGCCAAGUCUCCCCUCACCCCUCUCCUACGGAGACAAUGAGGGCUGGCGGAAAUUGGCCUCCCGUGAGCUCUCGUUUGCGGUUGGCCCAAAUCAGAGUCUCCUGGCAUGGCAGCCACGACACGCGGUGGUUGGCAACGAAUGCGUAGAGCACCGUCGUGGGCUUAGCCCGGUCAACUAGGAGCGCGCGACCCCGACGCGAAGCGUCUCCACAGAGCGACCCCAGGUCAGGCGGAAACACCCGCUAAGUUUAA